GAUGAACGCUCGCGGCAGGCCUAACACAUGCAAGUCGAGGGAUAAGCCUUCGGGCUAAGACCGGCGCACGGGUGCGUAACGCGUAUACAAUCUGCCUUUUAUCCGGGGGAUAGCCCGAAGAAAUUUGGAUUAAUACCCUAUGGUAUAAGAGCACGGCAUCGUGCACUUAUUAAAGCUACGGCGGUAAAAGAUGAGUAUGCGUUCUAUUAGCUAGUUGGAGAGGUAACGGCUCCCCAAGGCGACGAUAGAUAGGGGUUCUGAGAGGGAUGUCCCCCACACUGGUACUGAGAUACGGACCAGACUCCUACGGGAGGCAGCAGUGAGGAAUAUUGGACAAUGGUCGGAAGACUGAUCCAGCCAUGCCGCGUGCAGGAUGACGGCCUUAUGGGUUGUAAACUGCUUUUGUAAGGGAAGAAUAAGGAGUACGUGUACUUUGAUGACGGUACCUGACGAAUAAGCAUCGGCUAACUCCGUG
rnacentral:rRNA from 1 species